UACGUAGGGUGCAAGCGUUAAUCGGAAUUACUGGGCGUAAAGGGCUCGUAGGCGGUUUGUCGCGUCGGGAGUGAAGACCAUGAGCUUAACUCAUGGCUUGCUUUCGAUACGGGCAGACUAGAGUGCGGUAGGGGAGACUGGAAUUCCUGGUGUAGCGGUGAAAUGCGCAGAUAUCAGGAGGAACACCGGUGGCGAAGGCGGCUUGCUGGGCCUUACCUGACGCUGAGGAGCGAAAGCGUGGGGGAGCAAACAGG
rnacentral:rRNA from 1 species